GCCACUGACACUGAGUCCGAUUUUGACCCAGGUCAGUUUAGCGACACGUCUAGUGACAUGUCAUCUGUGUGUGAGCCAGCUGCUAAAAGAAGCUGUGCUUCCCCUGCUACGCCGAAUGUGGAGGAGGAACGGGUUUCUCCACAGUUAUCCGAGCCCAAAAUCCCCCUUUUAGUGCCAACACAGGCAUUAAUGUCAAUGUGGAUGACUUCUCCCCUAUGCAAUAUAUGGAGCUAUUUUUAGGGGAUACCAUCUGGG